rnacentral:tRNA from 1 species
GCCUGGGUGGCUCAGUGGUUGAGCGUUUGCCUUUGGCGCAGAUCAUGAUCCCAGGGUCCUGGGACUGAGUCCCACAUCAGGCU